UAGUUUGAUCCUGGCUCAGGACGAACGCUGGCGGCGCGCUUAACACAUGCAAGUCGAGCGAGAACCAGGGCUUCGGCCCUGGGGACAGCGGCGAACGGGUGAGUAACACGUGAGUAAUCUGCCCUCGGCACCGGGAUAGCCCGGGGAAACCCGGAUUAAUACCGGAUAGCCUCCGAAGCCUUCGGGCGUCGGAGCAAAAGUAGCUUAGGCCUCUGGCCGAGGAUGAGCUCGCGGCGGAUUAGCUUGUUGGUGGGGUAAUGGCCCACCAAGGCGACGAUCCGUAGCUGGUCUGAGAGGACGAUCAGCCACACUGGGACUGAGACACGGCCCAGACUCCUACGGGAGGCAGCAGUGGGGAAUCUUGCGCAAUGGGCGAAAGCCUGACGCAGCGACGCCGCGUGCGGGAAGAAGGCCUUCGGGUUGUAAACCGCUUUCAGGAGGGACGAAGCUCCUCGGGUUAACAGCCCAGAGGGUGACGGUACCUCCAGAAGAAGCCCCGGCUAACUACGUGCCAGCAGCCGCGGUAAUACGUAGGGGGCAAGCGUUGUCCGGAUUUAUUGGGCGUAAAGCGCGUGUAGGCGGCCAGGUAGGUCGGUUGUGAAAACUGGAGGCUCAACCUCCAGACGUCGACCGAAACCAUCUGGCUAGAGUCCGGAAGAGGAGAGUGGAAUUCCUGGUGUAGCGGUGAAAUGCGCAGAUAUCAGGAAGAACACCGAUGGCGAAGGCAGCUCUCUGGGACGGUACUGA
rnacentral:rRNA from 1 species